GACGAACGCUGGCGGCGUGCUUAACACAUGCCAGUCGAACGGUGAAGCGCCUUCCUUGUUGGUGGGUGUGGAUGAGUGGCGAACGGGUGAGUAACACGUGAGUAACCUGCCCCUUUCUUCUGGAUAACCGCAUGAAAGUGUGGCUAAUACGGGAUAUUCUGGUUCUGUCGCAUGAUGGGUCUGUGAAAGAUAUUGUUUCGGUGGGGGAUGGGCUGGCGGCGUAUCAGCUUGUUGGUGGGGUGAUGGCCUACCAAGGCGGUGACGGGUAGCCGGCCUGAGAGGGUGGACGGCCACACUGGGGCGGAGACACGGCCCGGACUGCGACGCGAGGCAGCAGUGGGGGAUAGUGCACAAUGGGGGAUAGCCUGAUGCAGCGACGCCGCGUGUGGGAUGGAGGCCUUCGGGUUGUGAACCUCUUUCGCUAGUGAAGCAGGCCUGCCUCGUUUGUGGGUGGGUUGACGGUAGCUGGUGAAGAAGCGCCGGCUAACUACGUG
rnacentral:rRNA from 1 species